CCUACGGGCGGCUGCAGUGGGGAAUAUUGCGCAAUGGGCGAAAGCCUGACGCAGCGACGCCGCGUGGGUGAUGAAGGCCUUCGGGUUGUAAAGCCCUGUCGGGUGGAACGAACGAUCUGGCGGCGAAUAACCGCCGGGUGUGACGGUACCACCGAAGGAAGCCCCGGCUAACUACGUGCCAGCAGCCGCGGUAAGACGUAGGUGGCGAGCGUUGUUCGGGUUUACUGAGCGUAAAGCGCGCGUAGGCGGCGAAAUCCCUCGGGCUAACCGAGGUACCGCAUCCGAGUCCGUCUGGCUCGAGUCUAGGAGAGGAAAGCGGAAUUCCCAGUGUAGCGGUGAAAUGCGUAGAUAUUGGGAGGAACACCGGUGGCGAAGGCGGCUUUCCGGACUAGUACUGACGCUGAGGCGCGAAAGCUAGGGGAGCGAACGGGAUUAGAUACCCCUGUAGUC
rnacentral:rRNA from 1 species